AAAUUGAAGAGUUUGAUCAUGGCUCAGAUUGAACGCUGGCGGCAGGCCUAACACAUGCAAGUCGAGCGGUAGCACAGAGAGCUUGCUCUCGGGUGACGAGCGGCGGACGGGUGAGUAAUGUCUGGGAAACUGCCUGAUGGAGGGGGGAUAACUACUGGAAACGGUAGCUAAUACCGCAUAACGUCGCAAGACCAAAGUGGGGGACCUUCGGGCCUCAUGCCAUCAGAUGUGCCCAGAUGGGAUUAGCUAGUAGGUGGGGUAACGGCUCACCUAGGCGACGAUCCCUAGCUGGUCUGAGAGGAUGACCAGCCACACUGGAACUGAGACACGGUCCAGACUCCUACGGGAGGCAGCAGUGGGGAAUAUUGCACAAUGGGCGCAAGCCUGAUGCAGCCAUGCCGCGUGUGUGAAGAAGGCCUUCGGGUUGUAAAGCACUUUCAGCGGGGAGGAAGGCGAUAAGGUUAAUAACCUUGUCGAUUGACGUUACCCGCAGAAGAAGCACCGGCUAACUCCGUGCCAGCAGCCGCGGUAAUACGGAGGGUGCAAGCGUUAAUCGGAAUUACUGGGCGUAAAGCGCACGCAGGCGGUCUGUCAAGUCGGAUGUGAAAUCCCCGGGCUCAACCUGGGAACUGCAUUCGAAACUGGCAGGCUAGAGUCUUGUAGAGGGGGGUAGAAUUCCGAGGUGUAGCGGUGAAAUGCGUAGAGAUCUGGAGGAAUACCGGUGGCGAAGGCGGCCCCCUGGACAAAGACUGACGCUCAGGUGCGAAAGCGUGGGGAGCAAACAGGAUUAGAUACCCUGGUAGUCCACGCCGUAAACGAUGUCGAUUUGGAGGUUGUGCCCUUGAGGCGUGGCUUCCGGAGCUAACGCGUUAAAUCGACCGCCUGGGGAGUACGGCCGCAAGGUUAAAACUCAAAUGAAUUGACGGGGGCCCGCACAAGCGGUGGAGCAUGUGGUUUAAUUCGAUGCAACGCGAAGAACCUUACCUGGUCUUGACAUCCACAGAACUUUCCAGAGAUGGAUUGGUGCCUUCGGGAACUGUGAGACAGGUGCUGCAUGGCUGUCGUCAGCUCGUGUUGUGAAAUGUUGGGUUAAGUCCCGCAACGAGCGCAACCCUUAUCCUUUGUUGCCAGCGGUUAGGCCGGGAACUCAAAGGAGACUGCCAGUGAUAAACUGGAGGAAGGUGGGGAUGACGUCAAGUCAUCAUGGCCCUUACGACCAGGGCUACACACGUGCUACAAUGGCAUAUACAAAGAGAAGCGACCUCGCGAGAGCAAGCGGACCUCAUAAAGUAUGUCGUAGUCCGGAUUGGAGUCUGCAACUCGACUCCAUGAAGUCGGAAUCGCUAGUAAUCGUAGAUCAGAAUGCUACGGUGAAUACGUUCCCGGGCCUUGUACACACCGCCCGUCACACCAUGGGAGUGGGUUGCAAAAGAAGUAGGUAGCUUAACCUUCGGGAGGGCGCUUACCACUUUGUGAUUCAUGACUGGGGUGAAGUCGUAACAAGGUAACCGUAGGGGGAACCUGCGGUUGGAUCACCUCCUUA
rnacentral:rRNA from 1 species